GAUGAACGCUAGCUACAGGCUUUAACACAUGCAAAGUCGAGGGGGAAACGGGCAUUUUAGUGCUUGCACCGAAUGGACGUCGACCGGCGCACGGGUGAGUAACGCGUAUCCAACCUACCCAUUACUGUGGGAUAACCUGCCGAAAGGCAGACUAAUACCGCAUAGUCUUCGAUGACGGCAUCAGAUUUGAAAUAAAGAUUUAUCGGUAAUGGAUGGGGAUGCGUCUGAUUAGCUUGUUGGCGGGGUAACGGCCCACCAAGGCAACGAUCAGUAGGGGUUCUGAGAGGAAGGUCCCCCACAUUGGAACUGAGACACGGUCCAAACUCCUACGGGAGGCAGCAGUGAGGAAUAUUGGUCAAUGGGCGCGAGCCUGAACCAGCCAAGUAGCGUGCAGGAUGACGGCCCUAUGGGUUGUAAACUACUUUUGUAUGGGGAUAAAGUCAAUCACGUGUAAUUGUUUGCAGGUACCAUA
rnacentral:rRNA from 1 species